rnacentral:lncRNA from 1 species
GACUCGUUGAUGGAAAAGAUGCAGGAUUACAUCCGCCUGCAUUCAGCCCCUCUCCUGCCUCGUUCCCUGCCCAAGGAGUCUGAUGAGCCGUCAGACUUGGAGCUGCUGGCUCACAUGGACAGCCUGUCACCGUCCAAGCUUGAAGUUGAGGUCCAGGUUUCCUCCAGCCGCUUCCCUCCUCCAGCUGAGACUACGUCUCCAUCUGCGCCUUCCCGGGCAACCAAUACGAGGACACUGUUCACAUCCCUCGUUCCGGUGCUGGUUCCUCUGGACUUGUCUGGGUACCAGCAGAAGGUACCAGCACUCUGAGGUCAUUUAAAUAUAUGAAUAAGUAAAUUACACACAGUUGGGUCGUCCAUGAAGGUUGGGGGUUUGAAUCCUGCCUCCUAAAGGUGCACACUGUGGUUGUGUCCUUGGGCAAGACACUUCACUCGCCUCCAGUGUCUGCGUACACUGGUGUGUGAAUGAGAGUGAAUGGGUGAGUGGAUCCUUGCUGUAAAGCGCUUUGAGCCCAAUGUAGGUGAAAAUGCGCGGUAUAAGUUGAGACCAUUUAUCUUAUAAUAUAAAACGCAAUUGCCCGUGCUGUUUCCGGGUUGGGUGCUGGUGAAAUCUGAUGUUUUCACACUUACAUUCUCUGUCAAUGAUUACAUCGGAUACCCAGCUGGCCGCGACGCAACACGAGUUAAUCAAAACAACCGUUUUAAUCAUAUGUUACAUAUUUUUCAUGAAUAAACUACUUGAAUAUAAAUGGUUACGGUGGAAAAGUUGCUCACGUUACUUACCUCUUACCUUUAACUUGAGCUGUUAAAUGGUCAAUAACUUCCUCUCUUAAGCAAAAAGGCAGUAAUCCAUUCAUGUAAAAUCCAGGUGAAUAAAACAGAUUUUGGCUGGCUCUUUAUCGCAGAAAUACAUGAUUCCCAGAGUUUAGUGACUUAUUGUAGAUUUAGGCCCAAUCUCAAUUCUCCCCCUUAGCCCUCCGCUUAGCCCUUUCCCUUCGUUGUGCGCGUUCACGAGAGAC